rnacentral:lncRNA from 1 species
GCUUGCUCUAUCGGGGUCAGGGCUGGGUUUCUGUAAAGCACUUUUGUCAACAGUGACAUCAGCAUCCAUAAUGAUCUGUGUCUGUGUCCCCUCUUUAUGGUUACAGGACAACGCUAGCCCUUCCUCCCUCCGGAGUCCCUGUAUCGUACCUCUCCCGGUGCACCUUACUGCUGGGUAUGAAGAGGUUGUCUGUGCUGCUGGUGGACUGCAGGAAAACAACGGGGCUGAGUGACUGUGAGAGGAGGAGAAGAGAAGAAAGGAUCAGAUUUGACACAUCAAAGAGGAAAACCAAACUUGGAGAAACCAGAAACGUCCAAACCAGCAAGACACACCUCUGCUCCCACUGUGGAAAGAGUUUUAACCAGUUCGUUAGCAUGAGAAGACAUAGAGAGAAUACACACAGGGGAGAGCCACACCAUUGCACACAGUGUGGAAAGAGUUUUACCAGUUAGGAAACAUGAAAUCUCACGAACGAAUACACCCAGGGGAGAAGCCUUUCCAUUGCUCCCAGUGUGGAAGAGUUUUGGAGAGUCAGGAAACCUGAAUGCUCACGAGCGCAGCACACAGGGGAGAACCUUACCACUGCUCCCACUGCGGAAACGCUUUUACCAUUCAGGGAAGCUGAAGAACACAUGAGACUGCCACCGAGGAGAACCCUUACAAUGCUCAGACUGUGGGAAGACAUAUUACUCAUCAUGGUCACUUAAACGUCAUGUGAGAAUCCACACGGGAGAAUAAUUACUUCUCUUAGUGGGUAGGUUUUUCACAUCACGUUGACUUAAAAUUCCUCAGAGAACAUACACAGUGGUCCCGUUGUCUUAUAUUGUUGACUGAGGAUGUUGUUUACCUGUUUAUACCAUAUGAAAUUAAAUGGUACAGGUAUACUCAAACGUAAAUUUGUGUGUUUUUAUUAGAAAACAUGAAUUGAGUAUGUAAGUUUGAAUAUAGAGUAAUAUAUUAUUUUUUAAACUCUGACUAUGUGUGUGUUUAUCUGUGUGUGUCAUUCCUCCAGCACUACAGAUAAUCAAGUGAUAUUUGGAUGUGAUGCAUUGUUCCAUUGUUGACAUUUGCAUUGUAGCCCACUGAUGAUUUAAUGACAUGAAAAUGUUCAGACUCUGUAAUGGAAAAACUGUCCUAUUAUAAUCUCCUGUUCUUGGGGGUUUCAUCCUGUGUUGCAAACCAAUUUGCACCUGCGUCCUUGUAUGAAUAAAGUCCCGCCCAGGAACAGGAAACUAUAAAGAUAUGUGCUAAUCACCCAAUGCUUCAGGAAUCAGACUGUCUACAUGCACUGUGUAACUCUGUUAUUCUCUCUGAGCUCAGAAAUAAAGAAUCUUGGUUUGACUUGGACUCCAGCAGAUCCUUAUUCUAUAAUAUCCACCACAACUUCCCAGGAUUGCUGUUUAUCUUGUCUCAAAGAAGAGUUCCACUUUC